rnacentral:rRNA from 1 species
CCUACGGGGGGCAGCAGUGGGGAAUAUUGGACAAUGGGCGAAAGCCUGAUCCAGCCAUGCCGCGUGUGUGAAGAAGGCCUUCGGGUUGUAAAGCACUUUCAGUGGGGAAGAAAGCCUUGGGGCUAAUACCCUCGAGGAAGGACAUCACCCACAGAAGAAGCACCGGCUAACUCCGUGCCAGCAGCCGCGGUAAUACGGAGGGUGCGAGCGUUAAUCGGAAUUACUGGGCGUAAAGCGCGCGUAGGCGGUCUGUUAAGCCGGUUGUGAAAGCCCCGGGCUCAACCUGGGAACGGCAUCCGGAACUGGCAGGCUAGAGUGCAGGAGAGGAAGGUAGAAUUCCCGGUGUAGCGGUGAAAUGCGUAGAGAUCGGGAGGAAUACCAGUGGCGAAGGCGGCCUUCUGGACUGACACUGACGCUGAGGUGCGAAAGCGUGGGUAGCAAACAGGAUUAGAUACCCUGGUAGUC